GACGAACGCUGGCGGCGUGCUUAACACAUGCAAGUCGAACGGAAAGGCCCUGCUUUUGUGGGGUGCUCGAGUGACGAACGGGUGAGUAACACGUGAGUAACCUGCCCUUGACUUUGGGAUAACUUCAGGAAACUGGGGCUAAUACCGGAUAGGAGCUCCUGCUGCAUGGUGGGGGUUGGAAAGUUUCGGCGGUUGGGGAUGGACUCGCGGCUUAUCAGCUUGUUGGUGGGGUAGUGGCUUACCAAGGCUUUGACGGGUAGCCGGCCUGAGAGGGUGACCGGCCACAUUGGGACUGAGAUACGGCCCAGACUCCUACGGGAGGCAGCAGUGGGGAAUAUUGCGCAAUGGGCGGAAGCCUGAUGCAGCAACGCCGCGUGCGGGAUGACGGCCUUCGGGUUGUAAACCGCUUUCGCCUGUGACGAAGCGUGAGUGACGGUAAUGGGUAAAGAAGCACCGGCUAACUACGUG
rnacentral:rRNA from 1 species